rnacentral:rRNA from 1 species
AUUGAACGCUGGCGGCAUGCCUUACACAUGCAAGUCGAACGGUAACAGGUUAAGCUGACGAGUGGCGAACGGGUGAGUAAUAUAUCGGAAUGUGCCCAGUCGUGGGGGAUACCGUAGCGAAAGCUACGCUAAUACCGCAUACGAUCUACGGAUGAAAGCGGGGGAUCGCAAGACCUCCCGCGAUUGGAGCGGCCGAUAUCAGAUUAGGUUGUUGGUGAGGUAAAAGCUCACCAAGCCUGCGAUCUGUAGCUGGUCUGAGAGGACGACCAGCCACACUGGAACUGAGACACGGUCCAGACUCCUACGGGAGGCAGCAGUGGGGAAUUUUGGACAAUGGACGCAAGUCUGAUCCAGCAAUGCCGCGUGCAGGACGAAGGCCUUCGGGUUGUAAACUGCUUUUGUACGGAACGAAACGGUGAGCUCUAAUACAGUUUGCUAAUGACGGUACCGUAAGAAUAAGCACCGGCUAACUACGUGCCAGCAGCCGCGGUAA